GCCCUCGUAGCUCAGGGGAUAGAGCAUCGGCCUCCGGAGCCGUGUGCGCAGGUUCGAAUCCUGCCGAGGGCACCC
rnacentral:tRNA from 1 species